rnacentral:rRNA from 1 species
GAUGAACGCUGGCGGCGUGCCUAAUACAUGCAAGUCGAGCGAACAGACGAGGAGCUUGCUCCUCUGACGUUAGCGGCGGACGGGUGAGUAACACGUGGAUAACCUACCUAUAAGACUGGGAUAACUUCGGGAAACCGGAGCUAAUACCGGAUAAUAUAUUGAACCGCAUGGUUCAAUAGUGAAAGACGGUUUUGCUGUCACUUAUAGAUGGAUCCGCGCCGCAUUAGCUAGUUGGUAAGGUAACGGCUUACCAAGGCGACGAUGCGUAGCCGACCUGAGAGGGUGGUCGGCCACACUGGAACUGAGACACGGUCCAGACUCCUACGGGAGGCAGCAGUAGGGAAUCUUCCGCAAUGGGCGAAAGCCUGACGGAGCAACGCCGCGUGAGUGAUGAAGGUCUUCGGAUCGUAAAACUCUGUUAUUAGGGAAGAACAAAUUUGUAAGUAACUAUGCACGUCUUGGCGGUACCUAAUCAGAAAGCCACGGCUAACUACGUG